rnacentral:rRNA from 1 species
UACGUAGGGUGCGAGCGUUAAUCGGAAUUACUGGGCGUAAAGCGUGCGCAGGCGGUUCGUUGUGUCGGUGGUGAAAUCCCCGGGCUUAACCUGGGAAUGGCCAUGGAAACUGGCGAACUGGAGUGCGGCAGAGGAGACUGGAAUUCCCGGUGUAGCGGUGAAAUGUGUAGAGAUCGGGAGGAACACCGGUGGCGAAGGCGGGUCUCUGGGCAUUUCCUGACGCUGAGGCGCGAAAGCGUGGGGAGCAAACGGG